UACGUAGGGUGCGAGCGUUAAUCGGAAUACUGGGCGUAAAGCGUGCGUAGGCGGUCCGCGAAGUCUGAUGUGAAAGCCCCGGGCUCAACCUGGGAAUUGCGAUGGAGACUGCAAGGCUUGAAUCUGGCAGAGGGGGGUAGAAUUCCACGUGUAGCAGUGAAAUGCGUAGAGAUGUGGAGGAACACCGAUGGCGAAGGCAGCCCCCUGGGUCAAGAUUGACGCUCAUGCACGAAAGCGUGGGGAGCAAACAGG
rnacentral:rRNA from 1 species